rnacentral:lncRNA from 1 species
GACAUGCAAACAUUUUAUGAAACACUUUUUAAAAGCCUAAGCAAAAGAGGUCUCUAGGGCCUAUUUUCAUAAGUAUGACUUAAAAGCAUAUUUUGGAGAAGUGACCAACAUGAACAUUGUUCCCAAAGUCAAGUUAAACAUAGAUAAACUAAUUACCAAGGCAUUAAGCACAAACACAAGCAUGGUUCACUCAAACAUAAGCAUAGGAAGCCUAUUUAAGCAAUUUAAAACACAUUUAUGCAUAGAAUGACAUGGCUCA